UACGUAGGAUGCAAGCGUUGUCCGGAAUUAUUGGGCGUAAAGAGCGCGCAGGCGGUUUGGAAAGUUGGACGUGAAAUUUUAGGGCUUAACCCUAAAGGGUCGUCCAAAACUCCCAGACUAGAGUGCAGGAGAGGAAAGCGGAAUUCCCGGUGUAGUGGUGAAAUGCGUAGAUAUCGGGAGGAACACCGGUGGCGAAGGCGGUUCUCUGGGCCUUACCUGACGCUGAGGAGCGAAAGCGUGGGGAGCGAACAGG
rnacentral:rRNA from 1 species